GCGUUUGUUCCUGGAGUACUGGGCGUCAGAGCUACGUAGUAGAUGUCGGUCGUCUGUGAAAUUAUGCUAUCCAAAUAGCAGCGGCCAGCGAUACGGGCCAGACUUGAGUACUACUAGGGGGAGGACUGGAGUACCUUGUGUAGCGGUGGAAUGCGCAGAUAUCAUGGAGGGAACACCCGGUGGGCGAAGACGGUUCUCUGUGCAGUAACUGACGCUGAGGAGCGAAAGCGUGGGGAGCGAACAGGAUUAGAUACCCUGGUAGUGUACGCCCGUAAACGGUGGGUACUAGGUGUGGGUUUCUUUCCUUGGGAUCCGUGCCGUAGCUAACGCAUUAAGUACCCCGCCUGGGGAGUACGGCCGCAAGGCUAAAACUCAAAGAAAUUGACGGGGGCCCGCACAAGCGGCGGAGCAUGUGGAUUAAUUCGAUGCAACGCGAAGAACCUUACCUGGGUUUGACAUGUACGUAUUAACUCUAUGAAAGUAGAGCCACAGUCGCAAGACCGGAACGUGCACAGGUGCUGCAUGGCUGUCGUCAGCUCGUGCUGUGAAGUGUCGGGUUAAGUCCUCUAACGAGCGCAACCCCCGUCGUUAGUUGCUCACGCGUAAUGGCGAGUACUCUAACGAGACUGCCGGCGUCAAGCCGGAGGAAGGUGGGGAUGACGUCAAGUCCUCAUGGCCCUUACAUCCAGGGCUGCAAACGUGCUACAAUGGCAUUGACAAAGAGACGCGAGGCCGCAAGGCGGAGCAAAUCGCAAAAAAAAUGCCCCAGUUCGGAUUGCAGGCUGCAACUCGCCUGCAUGAAGUCGGAAUCGCUAGUAAUCGCGGAUCAGCUUGCCGCGGUGAAUACGUUCCCGGGCCUUGUACACACCGCCCGUCACACCACGGGAGUCAGUUGCUCUAGAAGUCGGUGCGCUAACCUUUGAAGCAGCCGCCUAAAGAGUGACUGGUAACUGGGGUGAAGUCGUAACAAGGUAACC
rnacentral:rRNA from 1 species